rnacentral:rRNA from 1 species
AUGAAGUGGCGCCAAGCUUCUGGCAUUCUCUGUGACAAGAGAGUGCCACAAAAGCUAAAAGGCAAGUUCUACAGGACAGCGGUUCGACCUGCAAUGUUGUAUGGCGCGGAGUGUUGGCCGACUAAAAGGCGACAUGUUCAACAGUUAGGUGUGGCGGAGAUGCAUAUGUUGAGAUGGAUGUGUGGCCACACGAGGAAGGAUCAAGUCCGGAAUGAUGAUAUACGAGAUAGAGUUGGGGUAGCACCAAUUGAGGAGAAGCUUGUCCAACAUCGUUUGAGAUGGUUUGGGCAUAUUCAGCGCAGGCCUCCAGAAGCUCCAGUGCAUAGCGGACGGCUAAAGCGUGCGGAGAAUGUCAAGAGAGGG